GGCAUCUUGGCGGAGUGGUUAACGCGAGAGAUUAGAAAUCUCUUCCGGUUUCCGGGCACAAGUUCGAAUCUUGUAGAUGUCG